GUUGCUUUGACAGAUUAAAUGUAUUAAAUUUAGAAUUUAAUUAUGUAGAAAACUCUACAAGCAAUA
rnacentral:tRNA from 1 species